UACGUAGGCAGCGAGCGUUGUUCGGAGUUACUGGGCGUAAAAGGGUGUGUAGGCGGUUGUUUAAGUUUGGUGUGAAAUCUCCCGGCUCAACCGGGAGGGUGCGCCGAAUACUGAAUGACUUGGAGUGUGGGAGAGGUGAGUGGAAUUUCUGGUGUAGCGGUGAAAUGCGUAGAUAUCAGGAGGAACACCGGUGGUGUAGACGGCUCACUGGACCAUAACUAACGCUGGAGACACGAAAGCGUGGGUAGCAAACAGG
rnacentral:rRNA from 1 species